rnacentral:sRNA from 1 species
UUGAAAGGGAGGGAUGAGGAUAUAAUUCCAUACGUCUGCAAAUCUGAAACACAGUGUUGAUACAAUUGACAUGCACUACCAUCUGACCUCUGUUUUAUUGUUGUUUUCAAUAC